AUUGAACGCUGGCGGCAGGCCUAACACAUGCAAGUCGAGCGGAGCGGCGGACGGGUGAGUAAUGCCUAGGAAUCUGCCUGGUAGUGGGGGAUCACGUCCGGUAACGGACGCUAAUACCGCCUACUCUCACUUGGGCCUCGGUCGGCUUAGCUCGUUGGUGGGGUAAAGCCCGACCAAGGCGACGAUCCGUAACUGGUCUGAGAGGAUGAUCAGUCACACUGGAACUGAGAAAGGGUCCAGACUCCUACGGGAGGCAGCAGUGGGGAAUAUUGGACAAUGGGCGAAAGCCUGAUCCAGCCAUGCCGCGUGUGUGAAGAAGGUCUUCGGAUUGUAAAGCACUUUAAGUUGGGAGGCGGUACCAACAGAAUAAGCACCGGCUAACUUCGUGCCAGCAGCCGCGGUAAUAC
rnacentral:rRNA from 1 species